rnacentral:sRNA from 1 species
AAAGAAGGAAACUAGCUCGGACCGUGCAGGUUUGUAGGUCUGUUGGCCUGUAGGUUUCGGCACAAGUCUCAGCGAGAGAAGGAGAAAACUGCCUUGGUUGGAACCUUGCAGUGCAGGGAAAGGGGUGUGGCGGCCUUUGCUGGGGAAAUGGCGGACGACAAGUGGGGCGGGGGAGGCCUGCGUCCGGAAAGUCAGUAGAAUUCAUCACAAGAGAGCUACAAGAGCCUGGAAGAAGCUGAAGACUGCUACCCUCCAUCCUUACUCACCCUGGACCUGAGAGACCUCUUCAAUCAGAAAUGGAAACAGAGAGAUUCUCCUGGAAACCCCUGCCCCAUAAACGGCCCUCUCGAACACAAUGGGACGGAAUCCACCCACAACGCGCUUGGUUUGCAGAUGUCAAAGAAUCUGCAGAGGGUGCUACUGAAGAUCCAGCCUUAGCCAAUCACCACCUCAUUGGGUGAAAGUUCCAGGGCUCAAUCCAGGACCACACUCUUAUUGGCCAGGCAGGGGCUCCCACAGAGCUUUGAGUAAAUUCUUGGUUG